UCAAUAUGUCUAGUUGCAUUGUGAAUUUGAGCUACACAAAUAAUAUCUAAUGCUAUUCGAAUAUGUAGGGUGCUUCUUGGUGGAGACCAGGAAGGUCUUCUAAUGCUUCCAACUGACAAGGCUCUUCUGGAUGACCCUGUCUUCCGCCCUCUUGUGGAAAAAUACGCUGCGGUGCGUGUCUUCAGUAGAACUUAUUCUUCCGUGUGCUUAUUCAUCAACUACUUGCAAUUACUGAUUGUUAAAUUUAUCCUUUUGUUUUUCAGGAUGAAGAUGCUUUCUUUGCUGACUAUGCUGAAUCUCACAUGAAGCUCUCCGAGCUUGGGUAAUUUUUUGAAUUACAAUAUUUUUCACCAACGGUUCUGGUUUCUUCAAUGUUUUAAUCAGCGUGGAAUUGGUUUUGAAUACGAUUUGUCGCUCUAAUUUUGUAGGUUUGCUGAGGCCUAAGCAGAGCUGGAGAACUACAAGGGAUGAAGCCAAUGCCUGUGCGCCUUUCUUUUGUAUUUUUGGAUGCCUCUUGGUUGUGAGGUUGUAGGCAGUUGGUGCUUUUCUUUUUUAUCUUAUCAGAUUUUAGGAAGUGGGACUUCUAGUUCGAUUUGAAGAACGAAUGUUUUUAAAUUGGAUGGAAUGCUGGUAAUCAUCCUCGUUGAUUAAAUAAUACUGUAAUUUCACUUCUCCGGUUUUGUUUUCCAUUUGGAAAUGUGGUGGUUUGGUUGUCGACGAGAGACUGACAUGCGCCCCUUGGAAUGUCGAAGGCAUCGCUAGGGAUGUAUGUUAGUCCGCUUGAGAGGUUUCACCGGGUUAGAAAUGGGUUAGCAAUAAUGUGGUACAAAUUUGUUUUUGGUGAGAAUCAAACUAAAGACUUUUUACUUAUAAGUGAAGAUGAUACUAUUAUAUUGUAAUACUAAAUGACAACAUUGUACCCGGUUUAAAUGUUCAUAAUUUCUUCAAUAAUUAACGAAAUUAAGUGAUUCAAAAACUAAAAUCAUACUUUUCGACGAUACGAAGAGAAUAGUACCUUUUUCAACGGCUAAAUCGUCGUGGUUUGGCUGAAAAACGGUUCGAAAGUAGUUGUCUUGGUCUAGUGUUAGCCACUCUCAAGCCGUUUUCCAGUCAAACCACGGUGAGUUAGCCAUCGAAAAAGGUACCAUUCUCUUCGUCUCAUCGAGAAGUAUGAUUUUAGUUUUUAAAUCACUUGAUUUCGUUGAGUAUUGAAAAAGUUAUGAACGUUUAAAGUUUACCCAGUUUUCGGCUAGUUUUCAAGUUUUCACUCGGAUCAGUCAACUUUGAGGCUAUUUUCCGGCAAUAUCCGGCAACCAUUGGGCUUCUAAAUAGGUAUAGUCUUAUUCUACACUUUCCUAUCUUCAUUUUGAUAUAUUAUGGGUCGAAUUUGGUUAAGAAACGAUUAAGUUACGAAACUUUGAAAAUUGCCUAAACUUCCGACCAAGAGCUCUGGGACACUUAACAGAGUUUUUAACCGAAUGACCAAAAUGAUGGAUGGUGGACAAUCUGAGGGACCACUUUUAUUGAUUUGGAAUCUCAGGGACCAAAGUGAUGAGUUAUGCAAAUCUCAUGAACCAUUUUGACGAUUUACCUGUUAUUGUAUUAUUGUUGUACCGUUCUACAUGUAAGCUCUCUUAGUUGAUUCGUGUGGCUUGAACUUCAAGCUUUCUUAAUUUUUUUGGGGGUGGUUUUCGACAAUGUCAAGCUAACUGGAUAACGAUACAGUUAAAAGCAGCACGAGGCUGCCAAGGGUGACCCAAAGACGGUCUAGUACAAUUACUACUGCUUCUUCUUGUUGGAGUGAACACUUUCUGGUUUGGGUUGGGCUGUACGUCUUCACACUUUCAAUUUGGGCUGCAAAGUCAAACCUUUUCGGCUCGGCUAACCUCAUCAUACAUGCUCGACAGAACUCGGCAGGUUGAUAGGCCUUGGCAUAUGGCCCCGGCAGAUCUCGACAUUUCCACUCUGUGCUUGACAAAAUGCCUUACUAACAGACAUAAGAAAUCGUAUGAACUUGAAAGAUUUUUGCACGCCGUCAACAUUGUUUUUUUUUUUUUUUUGUCAAAGAAAAAUUUUAAACUUUUAUACUAAAAACCCAUGCUAUAUGAUUCAUGAAUCUACCGUUGGAAGAGAAAGUUUGACAUAACAUUGUAUUAUUAAAUUUAAGCGCCAUGGUGACAUCUUGAAAAGUGCAUGUAAAUAUUUCCCUUUGUAAAUGUUGUGUGACUGCUUCUUGUAUCGAGUAGCGUAAUACGAAACACACACAGAAUGGUAAUAUUAAAUCAAACUUAUCCGAUAGUGUAAUGAGGUGAUAAUUUGGUCAAGGAAUUUAUUUUCCACAUUACUAUGGGAAAAGAUAGAGAAUUAGAAUGUAAACCUUAUGAAUAUUAAUUAGAAUGACAAUUUUAAGUAUAAUUUUAUUGAUAAUUUUUUUUCAAUAUGAUACAUUCCUCAUUGAAUUUCACCCAUAACUAGUAAAGGGUCCACCAUCAUACUAUAAUGUUUCCAAGACAUGAUACCAUUGUGUUUUCAUGCACAAAGUAUUCAUACAUAUAUGAUUGGAGGUCACCAAUCAUAGAAAAGGAAUCUCUUAGGAUAAUAAACAAUGACUAAUCUAUUAAUUAGGGAAAAUUAGGCUUCGGUCUCUAAUUAUUGAUACUCUUUGACUAAAACCUUGUUAUUUUUUACUUUUUGAUCAAAGUCCUUGAAGUUUGUACACAUCAGCAUUUUAUUAUCAACAUAUUUUCAUGUCAGCUUUUAUUUUAUUUUAUUGAAAUAGUUAAUAUUGCAUUUUUUUAUCCCAGGUUGCCUUUUUAUUCCAAUACUCUUAUGCCUCCAACGCCUCCUAUGCUUACCAAACUGAAUUGGCGCAUCCAUUCCACCAACUAAUCCCCCUCACUUGAUUUCUUCAGUUUUUUAUUUUCGUAACUGCAAAUUCCACAAUAAUCUCACUAAGUUUUUCAAAUCCAUCAUUAUUAUCUUUGAUAGGAUGCUUCAAAUUCAAGUUUCGCCAAGAUUUGAAUCGAAGUCAUACUUUAUCCGCGAGCGUUUGAACAUGUGCAAUUUUUUGCAGUGACACACCCUAAUCCUAGAAUCAAGGUGUGCUGGCCGUCACGUGAGUGUGACAUAACCAAAACUGCGGUGCGGAAGCAAAGGAUAUGAGAAAUACGAAGGAAUAAAAACCAACUACUAGCAGUAAUAUCCAACUAGCAUACUAGAGUGAGUUUAAGUGUGCAGUACACAAUUUCAGAGCAUAAAAGAAACUAGGUGCAGUCAAGUAGGACUAUAAUUAAGUUACAACACCCGCAGGUGAGUCCUACAUGCAGGAAGUCUGUCAGAACGCCGAAGAAAACCUCGUGAGCCACCAACUGCUAAUUAGAACCUGGAGGGGCGCAAAAACAAAAUUGAGUGGGUCAGUAAAACCAAAGUUUUCCAAAACAUUUCUAACUCAUCACUGUAAAACCUGUAUACUUUCCCAGAAAAUAACGUAAUAGCAUAUAAAACCUCAUACGUCACAAGUCACCAAUCUAUCACAAAUCCAAGAAUAUGCCAUGCCAUAAAUGUCAAUAACAAAACAUAGAUGCAUCAAAAUAACAGGUGACAUAAUGAAUUAACCGGAGACCCUGCAGUUGGUCCUGUACGGUUAAUUCCAUAGCUCAAUAUCCAACCCAGCCGGAGUCACCACGGUGACCUGUACGGCACUACUUUGCACAUAAGUCGGAACUACCUGAAGUAGUCUGUACGACAAGAAUGGUGUAAUGAUACGCCCUAGUGCUUUUCUCAUCAAUCAUCUGCACACGUAAUCUAAGGUCACCUACUAGUCGGAACCACCUCUAGUGGUCUGUACGUAGCAUGUCAGAACCCUCUCAUGGUCUGUACGACAUGCACCUACUUGGAUCCAAGGUGAGUGUGCGGUGUGGUGAAUAAUAUAAGCACUAACACCAGGGGUGCAGGUUAUGAGCUCUCAACACAAUUCACAUCAUCGAUGAUUCACAUGAUUAACAUAAAACUCACCUGAUACUCACUUGUGCGUCCACAGCACCAAUUCACAUAUAUAUAUAUAUAUAUAUAUGCAUUAAUAUCAACUCAUAUAAUUCAUAAUAUGCAUGCAUGGCAAUUGAAAACAUACUUUCAUAUAAAUUCAAUUUCUGGGAAAAUUAAUAGUAUAUAGGUAUAUACUGAAAACAAAACUGCCCACUCAUUGGUAAGUCGAUGGGUCGUAACCCCCGUGACGUCCCUGGAUGCGCUCGUCCUCGGGAUAGGUAUCACCUAUAAGCGAAACAACUAUAAAAACGUUAAUUUCAUGCACAUAACCAACAAUUCGAAAUAACUUCUCAUAUGGUGCUCAAUUUGGGUAUAUGAAUAUACCACAUCGACCUACUCGACGUCACGGACGUUGAGAAAUUUUUAGAAUUUUUUUUUUAAGCGGCACGCGCCCCCACGCGCCUGGACAGGCACGGGUUCACGCGCCCCCACGUGCGUCUUCUUCCUCGAGCUCGCCGGACUGAGUUUUCCGGUGGCCGGAAAACUGGAGAUUUUUCAAUCUCCUUGUUCUCCGUCGUUUCUCAACCGUUUUCUUCGUAUUUUAUAUCAAUUUGAAGCCCUCAACAUGUAGAAUCACAUUGGACUAAUUUAAGGCUCUAAAAACAACUAAAUCUCACCGGAAAAAUUCCAAGAAAAACCGGCCAACUUUGAACUCAGUGAUCCCGACGUCCAAAACCUUCAAACUAAGCACUCCGAGCUUCCUUAGGACCUCACUAAGCUCACUAUAAGCUCAAAAUUCCCUGAAAUUCAACAAUUCACGUGUGCAUGAACAGUGAUCUCAAGAUGGGUUUUGGAUUUCACGUGAUAUCGAGGGUUCCAAGUUCUAAAAAUUAUACCAAUGAACUCACAAGCUUGCAAGGAUUCACAAACUUACCUUUUUGACGUCGAUCCGUGAAGGUUGGAGGGUUUUUGAUCUUGGUCCGUACAAGUCGAGAGGGAGAGAGAACAAAUAAGAGAAGAGAGCACGGGGGAAAAAGGGAAGGGGUCCAGUGCGUGUAACCCGUGUGUGUGUGUGGUGCCUCAAAAACAGAUCACUUCAUCCCUAACCACACAAAACAUGCAUACCAACUUAAAUAAUUCUCCAAAAGUUCAUGGAAUAUGUGUAUUAGUCCAAAUAAUAUGUCACACACACACACACCUUAGCACCCGUCAAGGGUAAUUCCGUCAUUUCACGUCUUCGAGAAAUAAAAUCCCGAGAUGGGCUGUGACAUGCAGAGUAACUUGAAAAUCAACGACAAUUCCAAGCUAAAAAUUGAGGUAUUUUUUUCAUUUUUUGAAUUUGCACCCAUAAUUCAUUUAUACUGAUUUGUCAGUAAUGGUGGAUUCUUGGUGUUAUAAUUUACGUAACCAUAUUUACAGGUUGCGUAGUAUUGUUUUCACAAUUGGUUUUGCAUAUGUACAAUGAUUAUUUUUCAAUUUUUUUUUUGCAUGUGUUUGUACCAUACUUGACCAAUCCCGAAACUACUGAGCACCGGUCAACGUUAUACUGUCAAAGACCCAGAAAAGUUUGCCUCCAACCAGGAGGCCAAUCACAGCACGACACGUGUUGACAUCAUAAGCCAAUCAUAGUGCGACACGUUUCAACAUCAGAAGCCAAUCACAACACGACAUGUGUUAAUGUCAUAAUGAAACUAGAAACUCUCUUCUAUAAAUAGAGAUCAUUUUCUCACAAUAUUUCCUAAUGUCAUUUGUACUAAAUCAUUCACUAGUACUCACUAAUGACAUGUUUACGUAAGGGUAAUCGGAAUAAAGAAAGGGAAUUGAAUUCCGAUUACGGAGUAUUCCGGUGUUUACUAAAUAUUAAGGAAUAAAAAAAGUGGUGGAGCCCACACGAAACAAGGAAUCCAAUUCCUAAAAUUGGAGGAAAGGGAUUCCCUAGUUUUGUGAGGUAUUAAGGGCAAGGGAAUCAGGAAUGCAUCUUUUAUUCCAAUUAUGCCCUCACUUGUUUCUUAUUAUCCCAACAUUGCCCUUCAUUUGACACUCAUUAUGUCAUUUUUAAUAAAUAAAUAAAACCUAUUUAUAUAUUUUUAUAUAGAUAAUUUAAUUAAGAAUUUAAUUUAAUUAUUUUGUAUGAAAACAAUUUAUUUAUGUAAGGGCAAUUUAGUCAUUAACUUAGUUUUCAUUCUGGUUGAAGUGAAUUAGUAAACAACUUAUAUGGACUCAACAUCUUUCUUGCCAUCUUUUAAUAAAUAAAUAAAACCUAUUUAUACAUGCUUAUAUAGAUGAACUUUAUUAUAUAAAUUUAAUUAAGAAUUUAAUUUAAUUAAUUAGUAUGAAAAUAAUUUAUUUAUGUAAGGGCAAUAUAGUAAUCAACCUAGUUUUCAUUCCGAUUGAAAUGAAUUAGUAAACAACUUAUAUGGACUCAACAUUAUUUCUACUCCGAUUCCUGACAGUUUUGGUAAACAACUUCAACAUGAAUCUGAUUCUGAUUUCACCUCAUUUCAAUUCAUUCUCAAUCCAAUUCCCCCUUAAUCCAAUUCCUCUCAAUUUGAUUACGGUUUAGUGAUUGUGUAAACCUUUCACAAUUAAUGAGAACUCCUUUACUCCGUGGACCUAGCCAAUCUGGGUGAACCACGUACAUCUUGUGUUUGCUUCCAUGUCUCUAUCCAUUUACAUACUUAUCCACACUAGUGAUUGGAGCAAUCUAGCGAAGGUCACAAACUUGACACUUUCUGUUGUACUAAAGUCCUCAUUGAUUUUGUGCAUCAACAACAUGUAUUGGGGAACUUCAAUGAGUUCAGUAUGUAUCUUGUGGUUUUGCAAUGUUUUUCUAGUGCACACCAAGUGUUUAUCGAAAUGUUUGAAAGAGAAUUUUGUAUACGAAAAUUUUGUAUGCAUAGAAACUGUUUAAAAAUUCUUGAAUAAGUCCUUAAUUUUCUCUAUUGUGGUGUGCAUUGCAUUGUAUACAUUUUUUUUAACAAUGGUUCAUGUGUUGAUGUGUUGAAAAUUACUAGAGUUGUAGAAGUAUAGGCAGAAAAACAGAGCAGAUAAGUUAAAGGAGGACCAGCUAAGGCAAAGAGUUUUUGCCAUCUAUUUUUCAGUUUGACGUAUACCCUUUUUAUUUUUUGGUUUUGGGGGGGGGGGGGGAUAUGAUAAUUGGACAUGGUUUAAUUCAUGGGAAAUUUAACGAAAAGCUUCUGAUACUGUUCACUAUAAUGAAAGACCACAUUUUUACAUUAAAAAGUCAAUCAUGGUACUAUUCACUUUACCUUUUAUUUUGUUCUUAUGGUUAAAAUUCAAAAUUUUUAAGCCAGUUUUAUUAGUUUUCCUUUAAUUCAUCUUUCUUGUUUUCCUUUUGGAAAUUUAUUGCACUUUUUCAUGUCAAGCUAGAAUGCUUUGGGUUAAUGUUGUAUCCACUUUCUUUUAUCUUUUCAGAUGGAAUGUGCUAUAUUGGGGAGAUGCACUCAUCAGGGUACCACUAUAUCUAUUCCAAUUUUUUGCCACACUACAUUCUCUGAAGUGUACAAUGAGGUUUGCUCAAGGCCUAGUAAUUUGACUCAUGAUUUAUUCGACCUUACAUAUGCUUUACCUGGAUAUUCUACUUGUCUAUUGCAAUCUGAUAUGGACGUAUGGAUGUUGCAUAUGUCGGUUGUCAAUGAGAAAUAUUAUUGUGUUGAUAUAGCUAUCAACCAAAAGUCGUGUCGUGACAAUGAUCGUGUCAGCUGAAAUACCAAUGCUUCACAAACAUUUAUAAUUGAAGGAAAUAUUCACAACAAUAGAAAUGAGUAUUUAGGGAAAUAUGCAACACCGGGAGGCAAGGUAUAUUUGUCAAACUCUUGGAAGACCUACAUUAAUCAUGUAAAUCAAGGAUUUGAAGGCAGAGUGGAAGAAUUCAGAGACAAACUUUGUCACUAUGCAGUUCAAACGUGAUUCACAUUUGUGUAUGUGAAGAAUGACAGUGAAAAAGUUACAAUUGUAUGUAAUAAGAAAUAUUCUGAAGGUUGUCAGUGACAUGUGCAUGCAUCAGUAUGUCGUGUUAACAAUUUCUUUUACAUGCCGCAUUCGUGCUAACUUCAUAUCGUUAUUGUACUGCUUUACUAUUUUAGCAACAUAUGUGUCAAUUUUUUUGCAAAACACAAAUGUAACAUGACCAUCACGAUAUGCCUUAAACGAGUUCCAAAAUUGUGUUUUUUUUAUCUCUUUGUCAUGCCCAUCUUGAAUAAAUCCUUCCAUUUUUGGGUACAACGGGCUAUGUAUGUUAAGGCAUCACGAUAUGCCUUAAACAAGUUCCAAAAUGGUUGUUGACGAGAGACUUGUAUGCGCCCCAGAAUGUCAAGGCAUCACGGGCUAUGUAUGUUAGUCCGCUUUUGUGAUAACCUCGAUUUUAAAAAUGGAUUAGCAAUAACGUGGUUUAAAUUAUUUUUUGGUGCGAAUCAAACUUAAGACAUUUUACUUAUAAGUGAAGAGGAAUACACUAGAUUACUAAGUGAGAACAUUGUACCUGGUUUAACUAUGUUUCAAUCGACUUUGAAAUGAAAGAAAGGCACCGAAAGGGUUUUCAUAAUUUGAAACCAAGUAGACCACAACUCCUAAAACGUGAUUGCUCUCGUCGGACCAGUUAGACCAUAACUCCCAAACCAAUUAGAUAGGUGAUUGCUCUCGUCGAACAGAAAACUCCUAAAACGUUUUCGUGUAAAACAUAUAAUUGUAGUGUUAUCUUCUCUACUUCAUUGAAAGAAAGAAAGAAGUGCUGGAAGUUGCAUUUUCCAUGUGCUUUGCCAACUUCUUGGUCCACUUGAUGAGAAAAAUUUAUGUAGCACAAGUACAUCGCAACAUGGUGUUUUGUGUCAAUGAAACAAAGCAAUGUCGAUAAAAACUAACACAAAUUAUAAGUGUUUAUUUUGUUGGUACAAGCCGUAUUGUACUAUUUUAUUUGUGUCAUGUAAGUUUUUUUCAUGAGUUGUUAUUGUAUUAUUGUGGUACCGUUGUGCAUGUAAGCUCUCUUAAUUGAUUUGUGUGGCUUGAACUUGAAGCUUUUUUAUUUAUUUAUUUAUUUUUAUUUUAGAAAACUAGAUAUUAAUCAUUGAAAAAGAUUUAGUUUAAAAUAAUACCGUAUGCAAGAUUAACAAUUGAAUUAAGUCCCUAGCCAAAUAGCCAUGUCAUCCUACAUUAUUCCACAUUAGGUUGUCAUUUAUAUCUUUGUUGGUUUCUGUUUUAUUCUUCUAAUUAUACCAUUUUGUGAAUGUUUGUAACGAAGAUGGAUUUUUUUUUGUUAACAAUCAUAGGACGUCAUUUAUUAUAGUUUUUUUUUAAUGUAUAAUGUAUAUGAUACUUCGCAGUAGUUUUUUUUUAAUUCUCAUUCCAAUUUCAAACUGAUUUUAGUUCAUAUUCCAGAAAUUAGUAAUUCAUUUUUCUAAAAUUAAAAGGGCUAUGUAUAUAGUUGUUUGGGCCCAAAAUAAUGGUUUGGGCCGAGUUUUAUUCUCAGCCCGGAAGAUACGAAAGGUUAUCGUGGAUCGUUUAGCUCAUGGGCUUCCUAACCUAGGUCGGCCAAGUCGUGCUACAAGACGAGUAAUUGAAUCCUCGCACAAUAAGGAGUCUCAGCAAGAUAUAGAUAUUGAUAACCCAGAAGUGAAUGCGGCUUGAUAAAGGACCGGGUUCAUAGUCAUAGUGAAAAUAGGAUUGGUCGAGAUAGUGUUUGGUUAGAAUAAGGAGUCCUAAUCCGAGUAGGGAUAUAACUCGAUCUAGAGAAGACCUGAUGCUAUAAAUAGAGGAGGUUGUGCAUCAUUCAAACCCCCUUCAAUUCAACACACAACUGCCCUGCGCAAAUUCUCUCAACAACCAUGAGACUUUUUCCUUUUCUUUUUUCGCCGACACACCUUCAGUUUGGAUAAACAGCACUGUGAAGGCAACCGGUGAUAUCUUCAGUCGACAUAGAUAGUGUUGUCACCGUAGAACCAGCUGGUCUCGCAGCAUCUUCAGUCGACAUAGAUAGCACUGCGUCGAGAGUGACCAGUUAUCUAUCCAAGUCUCGGUCGAAAAGGAUUCCCGAAUCCUUAUUGGUUGAGGUCAUCUCAUUAGCUUUCUCGACAAAGUGAGGUGUUACAGUUUAUUAGGCUUGGCACAUUGCAUGCCGAGUUAGUUUAUGAUUGGAUACUCUCAAGUAGGAUUUAGAGUUCGGCAUUCCGACUGCUGAACCACGUUUAUUGUUAAGACAUAUAUCCGCUUUGAGUAUUUGUGCCCUUACACUUUGGUGUUGAUUUACUCUGACGAAUACCAUCACUGUGACCGAAUCCGACAAUGACGAUUUGUGAGCUUCGUAAGAAUAGUAGUCUUGUCUUCAGGUUCAAGAACCCAAGAGGCCGAAACGUGUUCCUUCCUCGGUCGCAAUCGCAAGACGUAGAAGUCGGCCGCGCACUCAUCACAACAUCAUCAUAUUUUACUCCUCGGCCGAGCUUGGCCAACGAGUUGGCAGGUCCCGCAUUCAACCGAAAGACGUAGUUAGCUCAUAGAUUACUCGACCUGCGCGCCACGUAGGCUUGGUAGUUUUUAGGGUCAACAAUAGUAUAUUGUAAUGUCAUCACUUGAUUUUCACCAUGGAACUUAAGGUACAAAUAUUUAGGUGCAUUUGACUAGAUACUAUGAUUUAGGUGCAUUCAUAUACCGCAUUCAUGUAGGUACUAUGAUUUAGGUGCAUUCCUGAAGGUACUAUGAGAGUUCGUUUUAAUCAGUGUGGAAUUGGUUUUGAAUACGAUCUGUUGCUCUAAUUUUGUAGGUUUACUGAGGCCUAAGCAGAGCCGGAGAACUACAAGGGAUGAUUCCGAUGCCUGUGCGCCUUGCUUUUGUAUUUUUGGAUGCCUCUUAGUUGUGAGGUUUUAGGCAAUUGGUGGUUUUUUUUUUUUUUUUCAGAUUUUAGGGAAGUGGGAUUUCUGGGUCGAUUUGAAGAACGAAUGUUUUUAAAUUGGAUAGAAUGCUGUGGUACUCAUCCUCUUUGAUUAAAUAAUACCGUAAUUUUCACUUAUCCGGAUGAGAAUGGUAUCGGUGCAGGCUUGGAUGCCUUAGGUAGGAGAGUAAUAUUCAUCCAUCUCAUUCGCAUAUAUUUUCAUUUGAAAGAAUUAUUACUGUCUAAUUAUUAUUUAAUUGGUACUUUUUGUUGUGAAGUAAUAUGUGCAUUAUUGUUAUUCCGUAUUCGAUAUAUGUUGUGUAAGAUUUUGUUAUAUGAUAUAUGGUGUAAUCGUUAUAAUUUUAUUUUAUUUUCUAUCAUAUCUUGGAUGUAGAAUUUAUUUCUAUAGUUAAGAUAUAGUUUACACUCUUAACUCAUAAAUAGUUUUUAUUCGCGGGUCAGGAAGUGACAUGAUAAGAUAGCAACACUAAGGAUGUUAAGAAAUUGGUAGUAGAAUAAGUGAUUCAACUCCUUAUAUGUCUUUUAAGGUUGCUUAACUUUUUGAUUGGGAUAAUUCUUGAGAAUGUGAAGAAUUAUUGCACAUCAGGCUUUAGAUAAUUAGGGGCGGGUCACUUUAUUUUUUUCACAAAACUUUUGACAUACGUUUUUUCACAGCCUACUUUAUAAUGUAUUUAACGAUCUAAAUCGUAUAUCUUUUUGAACCGUCUAUGAUAUGAUUUUUUAGGGGUUCUUUUGCUCGUCAGCGGUUUCUUUUGCAUUUUACAAAAAAUUGUCUAUAACUUUAAAAAAAUAUUAUGUUUAUUCAAAUUCUUAUUCCGUCAGCCAAUACUAUCACCUAAAAAAAACUUAAAUCUUGUUUGUUUCUGAAUGAGGCUCAAUGCUUGCAUGUUUGUAAUACAUACUUUUUAAAUGACAUGUUCUUCGUUCGUAUUUUCCUUUGUUUUAAGUCAAGUUAAGAAAAAACUUUUGAAACUAUGAACUUAUUUUUUACUGAAAAUAUGACUUUAGUCCUUGGAAUUCAAUUUUCUUCACAUAAAACCCAACGUAAAUUUUUUGCUCAAAUAAAACUCAUUAACUAGACUCCAUAUAAGCAAAUUCAUUAAUUAUGUUUGACUUUACCCAUUUAAAAUUUUUUGGAUGCCUAAAACACCCUUAUUGAAUGUUUAAUGUACACAAUUAAUUCUAUGCAAAUUGUAAAGGAGAAUUAAUGAUUUUACAAAAAUAAUAUUUUGCAUAUAAAUGUAGGGAUUUGUUGGUUAGUUUGGCUCUCGAAUUCCAAUUUACCAUUACAACAUGUCCAUAUUAUAUAUAGGUAAUUAUUGUACUUUAAAAUAUAUAAAAAAAUUGUUGUCAAAGUAAAAAUAUAUAAAUUAAAGGAGAUAAAAAUUGCAGGUAAAUUAAUUUUAGGACAAAGAAAAAGAAAAGAACCAACUAUAGGUAAAUUAUUUACAUAUACAGUCUAGAUAUUUGAUUCACAUAAAAAAUGUACGUAAAUCACGUGUGCAUAAUUUACCUACCAUUAUUGAAAUUUACCUACUUGCAUAAUUUACCCACUAUUAUAUUAAUUUACCUACUUGUAUAAUUUAGGAAAAAUGCCAACAAAACAUGAGAAUAUUAUUUGCAUAUAUCAUAGGUAAAUUGCUUAAAGAAAUAUGAGAAUAUUUUGUUUAUAUAUUGUAGGUAAAUUACAAUAUAUAGGGCGAUAUUAUUUAUAUUAAAGUAGAGAUGUUUAACUAUUAUAUAUAAGGAGAAUAAUUACACCGAAUAAUAAUGUAGUCCUUAUUUAAAGUAAUGCACUGGAUUGUUGUAGAAAUUAAAAAUAAAUAAAUAGAAAAAACGUCAGGAUGAUUAAUUAGAUUUUAAGGCCCUUGAUUGAAGCUAAUUCUCAAGUGUGGGUUGUGGCAAAAAUUGUAAAUAAUUUGUAUUAGUAGGUGUUUGGGCCCAAAAUAACAGUUUGGGCCGAGGGAGGUAUCACUUUCGGCCCGGGAAGACGUACGGCGAGAGAGUCAUGGGGGCGUUCAGAUCAUGGGCUUCUAGGCCUAGAUCGGUUAAAUCAGAGUGCAAGUCGAGUCCUAAUACAAUAGGGACCCUCGACGAGAUCAGUAAAACUAGAAGGCGAAUCCGGCUCAGUUAAGGACUAGAUUCGUAGUCCUAGCAGAGAUAGGACUGAUUGAGGUAACGUUAAUCCGGAGAGGGAAACCUAGUUCGAAUAGGAUUAGAACUCGGGCUCGGUGUUCUGCUACUAUAAAUACAAGACAUUCAGCAAUGGAAAAGCACCACAAAAAUCAAUACAAAAUUGCCCUGCGCAAACUCUCACAACUUGAGAUCUUUUUCUUUUCCUUUUUCGCUGACACAUCUUCCGUUGGCAUCAACAGCACUGUGGAAGCAACCGGUGAUAUCUUAAGUCGGCAUAGAUAGCUCUGUCACCGUAGAGUCGGUCGGUCUCGCAGUAUCUUCCGUUGGCAUCAACAGCACUGCGGCGAGAAACGGUCGAUUGCCUAUCCAAGUCUCGGUCGAGAAGGGUUUUCGAAUCCUUGUUGGUCGAGGUCAUCUCAUUAGCCUUCUCGGCGAGGUGAGGUGUUACAGUUAUUACAUUCGGCACAUUGUAAGCCGAAUUCGGUUCGUGAACUUUGUAAGAAAUAGCAGCCUUGUCUUCAGGCUCGAGAACCCAAGAGGCCGAGACGCGUUCCUUUCUCGGCCGCAAUCGCAAGACGCAGAAGUCAGUAGCGCGACCCAACGCAGCAUCAUCAAAUUUACUCCUCGGCCGAGCCUCGGCCGACGAGUUGGCACGCCCCGCAAUCACCGAAGGACGUAGUUAGCUUAGAAUAUAUUCGGCCUGCGCGCCACGUAGGCUUUGUAAUUUCUAGGGUCAACAUUUUGGCACGCCCAGUGGGACCUAGUGCUAAACUACGAAGUUCAUGCCAAUUGAAACACGAUCGGUAAAAAAGAAAACAGCUAUGGGAAAGUCGACAGCCGAUUUACCGAGUCAGAGCAUAGGACAGAGUGUGCCACAGGCGCAGAAUCCCCUUAGCGUUGGUACACCUGAGUCCACGAGCGCGACUCGCCGAGAGAGAGAACUUAAUCUCGGCGGUCAACUCCGUGGUUUAGAAAUCCCCAACAGAAACACAUGCGUUCUCAAUGAAGGGAUAAUAGAGGAAUGUGACGAGGAUGGUGGUGAAGGAUCAGACCCACCAAUGAGGUCGUUUCUCCGAAAGCGACUGGACGAGCAGUCUCGGUCAGUCGAGCAGACGUUCAGUCGAGGCAUUGACAAGCUGCAGAACGCGAUACUCAGCAGUGCCAAUGAUCGGCAAACCAAACUGCUCGAAAUGCUGGUUAGCCAAGUUGGUGGCAGCAGGCCUUUCGAUCUUCGCCAACCUUGUUUACCAGAAAACAACACGGUACCGACCGAUUGUACCGGCCGAACCUAUUCCUGCCCCGCUCAAAACAAUUAACUUGGAGAAGGGAGGAGGGUCGAACAGUAGGUCAGACGGGACCGACCAAAGGGUCGAAGCAGCAUCUGUUGAUAUGACCGAAGUUCGGCGGAUGAUCGACUCGGCUAUGAAGAAAGGGCCGAAGUUUCCCAAGUUUAUUCAUCCGUACCCAGCUUACGUGGAGACGUUUGGAUACCCGAAGGGCUUCAAGAUCCCAGAUUUUAGUCUUUUUGCUGGUGAAUCGUCCCUGUCUUCGUUGGAGCACGUGGCUCGUUUCACCGCGCAAUGUGGAGAUGUGAAUAGUGAUUUCCACAAGUUACGGCUGUUCAAUUUUUCAUUGACCGGCUCGGCAUUUGCCUGGUACAUCAAUCUCCCGCCUAAUUCCGUCCAAAACUGGGAGGAGUUGGUCGAGAAGUUCCACGAGCAAUUUUAUCGGCCGGGGAUGGAGAUGUCAGUUUCUUCAUUAGCACGGAUGGCUCAAGCAUCUGAUGAGUCACCAAUGGAUUAUCUUACUAGGUUUAAAUCGGCUAGGAAUUGGUGCCGAGUGCCCUUACCCGAAGUCGAAUUUGUCAGGCUUGCUUUGAAUGGUCUUGACGUCGAAUACAAAAAGAAAUUCUUGGGGGCAAAUUUUCGGGAUAUGUACGAAUUGGCCCAGCAUGUCGAGCAGUACGAUUAUUUGCUCCGCGAGGAAAAGACUUCGAAGACUCCAACUCGGGGAACGAUUUACAAGAACCCUACUGUCAAUUAUGCAUCAACCGAGGAUGAAUGUGUUAGUGUGGAUGCGGCUGAGAUAGUAAUAGAUAAACCAUACAUUUGCAAGGCAUUGACUCAGGUUGAUUCUAGAGAAGCCAAAAGUCGCUCGGCCACUGAAGGAACAUCGAAACCGUCAAAGGUUUAUAUACUUUUGAUAUUACCAAGGCUGACGUAAUUUUUGACCAACUGUUAUCAGCAAGAAUCAUUAAGCUUCGGCCUGGUCAUAACAUUCCUAAGGCCGAGGAGCUUAAAGGAAAGGUGUAUUGCAAAUACCACAAUUCGAGCAAACACACGACAAACAAUUGCGUCGUAUUUCGUGAUAACGUCCAAAGCUGGAUUGAUAAUGGCAAGCUGAAGUUCCCCGAGAAGAGGAUGAGUGUUGAUACUGAUCCGUUCCCCACGGCAACAGUCAAUAUGGUCGACGCGUACCUACCCAAGGACAAAGGGAAAGGCAAGGCUGAAGUGGUUGAGACACAACGCCCGCGGAACCAGAAUGUUCGGCCACGGUUCAUGGCCGAUUCGCGUUCAAAUAAACCAUCUGCGGCCUUAACGGGGCCCGCUAUUGUCAAAUCUUUGACGGAGUGUAGCGCCAAUGAAGAUAGUGGGACAGCGGUUCUGUGCAGGAAAUGUAAAGCGAAGGUCGACAGUGAACCAGAAGAGAAACCUUCUUCGCAACCCGUGGCCGCAACUCGGCCAAAGAUAGCCAAUGAAGACCAACAUCAUGGGGUUUUUGGGAGGCUCGGUCCUAAAGUACGGAUGGAAGAGACACCCCCAGUCAGGCGGCGCCUUGAUUUUGAUGCUUCAUUUUAUGACGAUGAUUACUAUAAGCGUAAUUCUAGCAGUUUAGGAUCAUCACGGAGUCAAAAGACCUUCAAGCCUCCUGAGCCUAGAGAUCAACGUUGGUACACAUACCAUUCUUCGAAGGGCGUCUAUACCGCGUUGUCCAAAUCUCAAAAACGCCGGCAUCAACGGAUAGAUUGCAUGGCUCGCCGACAAGUAGCCCAACAAACUUCGGCCCCUAAGUGGCGACCGAAGGAUACAGUUGCCACUAAUGAAAAGCGACCACCUCCACCAAUUAUGACAGAGUUGGCUCAGGGGAAACGGCUGGUCGAUCAAGACGUCGAGACCAUGUUUGAAGAAGCUGAUAAGCGGAUCAAGCUUCUCAUUCGACCAGGGGAAAUAAAGGCACGUGUUGAACAUUUCAGGCAAAAGGCCGAAAGCAAAUUAUCCCCGCUAGCUAUACAAGAGCCUUUGGUCAAAAUUCGACGGAAUUUUGCACCCCCCCCGUUCCUUGGGGAGUCUUUGGAAUAUAUGCGAGAAUUUCAUAAGGAACAUUCGGCCAACGAUUUGUAUGGUUUGCCGAAGGCAUGUCAGGACACCAUUGAUCUUGUCUUGACUUGUCCGGAUGCUGAGCGGAUCAUCCAGAAGACCUCAGAUCCAGGAUUGAAAGCAAGGUUCCAGCACAUACGAGAAGCUCGUGUCUUUGGAUUUGAAGUUGACCCGUAUACCGAUAUCGAUGUCGCUGACCUUCCUUUCUCGCUAGAGGACCUUCAAUAUUUACGGUAUCACUUUGAAGUAUUUUCGGCGGUUUCUCUCUUCGGCCUUACGACCGAUGAAAUCGCCCGUAUUGCCCGUCUGGAUGCUUAUCUCGACACUAGGGAUGCUCGGCUACACUACCAGGAGCAGGUUCAGGACUUGACCCCAAGCUCAUUGUCAAUCUCGACCUUACCUGAGGCGGUCACGCAGAGCCAACAAGUGGCCGAAGCAGCUCCGCCGAGUGACAUUAUUGAAGGGACGGAAGAAUCUCGUUGUCCGACUCUGACGACAACUGAGUCCGUAGUCGCUAACCAACCGAACGAGGAGGAUCUCGACCAGAUGGGCCCGUCCGUCCUGGAUAAUAUGGAAAUUAGUAUGGUUUCAUGUAUUACCUGCCGAUUUUCAAUCAAGCACGGCUCAACCAAAUUUCCUCGAUGGAGAUGUGGUUGUCGAGGAACCUGGCCAUGUUGAUUUUAUAUCGAUUUGCGAAUUGGCUCGAGUCAACAGCAAGAGAUGAUAGCCUAAAGGCCGGCCGAAUUUUAUCGUUUCCGUUUAAAGCUUUUUUGUCCAUUUAAAGCCAUUGUAUGUAACGGCACACAUCGAGGGAUAUCCGGUUUCUAAAGUUUUUGUCGAUUGUGAGCUACUGUCAAUAUCAUGCCCCUGAACAUCAUGAAGGCCUUACGCCGUUCAAAUGACGAACUUAUUCCGUCAGGGAUCACAAUGAGCAGUUUUGUCGGCGACAAGUCCCACACCAAAGGUGUGCUUCCGUUAACUGUGAAUAUUGCCGGUCGCACCCAUAUGACCGCCUUUUUUGUGGUUGAUUCCAAAACCGAGUAUAAUGCACUGCUCGGCCGAGAUUGGAUUCAUCAAACCAGCUGUAUUCCUUCCUCAUUGUACCAAGUGCUUGUCUUUUGGGACGGUAAAUCGGUCACUGUUCAUUCGGCCGAUAGCCAGCCCUUCGAAGCCAACAUGAUUCAAGCACGGUAUUAUGACGAUCACGUCGGCUAUAUUACGUUGCAAGGCUUCAAUGAAGAGGGACGGCCGACUCGGAUUUCCGUUCAGAAAGCUAUCGAGGUUGGCGCCGAGACUGUCCAGCAGGAUUCGGCGAGACUCGAAUUAGCUAACUUUCUCCCCGAAACCGAUGUUUGACGCCGAUCGGGAAGCACGUAGGGCCGCGGUUUCAUCUACUAUGGAACGACUGCUGGCCCAUUGGUAUACGAUAUCUAAACAACCAAAUUCGGCCGUCAACCUCGUCGAGUUCCUUGCUGAGGGAGAUAAUGGGCCUGUAUUAUCUUUUGAUAAAAUUCGAGCCGCCCCGGCCGAGCUCGAAGAUCAUCGGCCCCUUGUUAAGGACCCUUUGGAAGAGAUUAAUGUUGGGACGGCCGAUGACCCACGACUUUUGUUUAUUAGUGCGUUACUUCCUCAACAAAUGAAGGACGAGUUGCGGGCCUUGCUUACGGAAUUCAAAGAUUGUUUUGCUUGGAGUUAUCAUGAAAUGCCCGGCUUAGAUCGUGCUUUGGUCGAGCAUGAAUUACGUAUUAAGCCCGGAUUCAAGCCUUUCCGUCAGCCACCUCGUCGAUUCUCGACCGAAGUACAACUCAGUGUUAAGGACGAAUUAGUUCGGCUUUUGAAAGCCGGGUUCAUUCGGACAGCUCGAUAUGUCGAAUGGUUGGCGAAUAUUGUUCCUGUAUUAAAGAAAAGUGGUGCACUGCGCAUCUGCACCGAUUUUCGCAAUCUGAAUCUGGCAACGCCCAAAGAUGAGUAUACAAUGCCGAUUUCAGAUCUGUUAAUUGAUGCCGCGGCGAAUCAUGCGAUCUUAUCUUUUCUGGAUGGACAUGCCGGAUACAACCAAAUAUUUAUUGCCAAAGCCGAUGUGCACAAAACUGCUUUCCGGUGCCCGGGGGCACUCGGCACUUACGAAUGGGUUGUCAUGCCAUUCGGCCUCAAGAAUGCCGGCGCUACGUACCAACGGGCGAUGAACACCAUCUUCCAUGAUUUAAUUGGCACCAUCGUCGAAGUUUAUAUCGAUGAUGUUGUCGUCAAAUCUAAACGCCGACAGACACAUCUGGACGAUCUCCGACAGGCUUUCCUCCGUAUGCGUCAGCACAACCUCAAGAUGAAUCCUGCCAAGUGUGCCUUCGGUGUAUCGGCCGGGAAUUUUCUUGGUUUCCUCGUACAUCAUCGUGGGAUUGAAGUCGAUGAGAACAAGGCACGCGCAAUCAUCACCGCCCCACCCCCAACAACGAAGAAACAAUUACAGUCCUUACUCGGCCAGAUCAAUUUUUUACGCCGAUUUAUUGCCAAUUCGGCAGGUAAACUGAAAGCCUUUUCCACACUUUUGAAACUCAAGGACUCCGAUAAGUUCAUGUGGAAUGAGGAGCACCAGGCGGCGUUCACACAGAUCAAGGUUUCCCUUACAAACCCACAUGUCCUGGUCCCUCCUCAGCGCGGUAAGCCUCUCAAGCUGUACAUUUCGGCGGCCGACGAGUCCAUCGGUUGCCUCCUCGCGCAAGACAAUGAUGCCGGCCGGGAACAGGCUAUCUUCUACCUCAGCCGUAAUCUGAGUCCUCCGGAGAUCAAUUAUUCCACCGUUGAGAAGCUCUGUCUCGCCGUGUUCUUCGCUGCAUCCAAGCUUCGGCAUUACAUGCUCCCGUCGGUCACCCAAGUCAUUGCCCAGACCGACGUUAUCCGGUACAUGCUUACCCGGCCGAUUGUGAAGGGCCGAAUUGGGAAAUGGACGAUGGCGUUGUCCGAGUUUAGUUUGCAAUACGUGCCGCAAAAAGCUGUGAAAGGACAGGCGUUGGCCGAUUUCCUUGCCCAGCACCCUUCGCCUUACGAUUUCGGGGGUGCUGAUGUCGAGAUUGGCAUGGUGGUGACCCGACCCGCGACAACUAUUGGACGAUGUAUUUCGAUGGUUCCAGUACUUCGUCCUCUCGGCCGGUGCAGGCAUCGUCAUUCAGUCUCCUCACAACGAUCGUUGGUAUUUUUUCGCUCAAAUUGGAUUUCGACUGUACCAAUAAUCAGGCCGAGUACGAGGCUCUGGUCAUUGGUCUGGGCCUCCUUCUUGACCUACAUGCCACUCGUGUCCUCGUCCUCGGGGAUUCUGAACUAGUGAUUAACCAAAUUAAUGGGUCUUUUCGCUGCAUGAGUUGUACUCUGGCGCCUUACCACAUGAUCGCCAGCUAUUUGGCCGAGUCCUUUGACGGUAUUACAUUCGAGCAUAUUUCUCGGGUUCAUAAUACCGACGCAGACGAGUUGGCUCAAAUCGCCUCCGGUGCACAACUCCUGGGGGGCAAGCUAGGCCGAGAGAUACCAAUAUUACAACAAUUAUACCCGGCCUUGGUUGAUCAGCAAAUCCUCCGUCGAGACAAUGUGAUACGUACCAGGGUCAUGUCCUUGCCUUCGUUGUUGGAUCGGCAGGACCAGGACUCUAUAGAAAUUUACGCGGCCGAGGCAGUACCAGAUGAUUGGAGAAAGCCCAUUAUGCAGUACCUUGAUAAUCCUAACGGAAAACACAGUCGCAGGACACGGGCUCACGCCACGAACUAUGUCACGUACCAGAGCGAGUUGUACCGAAAGGGCGAAGAUGGUUUGUUAUUGCUAUGCCUCGGCCCUCAAGAGAGUGCUCGAGCGAUCGCAGAGGUUCAUGAAGGGGUAUGCGGAGCUCACCAGUCUAGACGAAAAAUGCGAUGGCUACUCCGACGACACAGUUAUUUUUGGCCGAGAAUACUGAAAGAUUGUAUCGAGUUUGCACGAGGAUGCGUGCAGUGCCAAAUCCAUGGGCCUAUACAAAGGGUCCCGGCCGAAUCGCUACAUUCGGUCAUUAAGCCGUGGCCGUUUAGAGGAUGGGCCAUGGAUGUAAUCGGCAAAAUCACGCCGACUUCUGGAGCUGCUAAGCAUGCAUGGAUAAUAGUCGCAACUGAUUACUUUACUAAGUGGGUCGAAGCAAAAUCAUAUGCCGAAUUAACGUCUAAAGAAGUUUGCGAUUUCGUGGAGGAACACAUUGUGACCCGGUUCGGUGUGCCAGAAACGAUCAUAACCGACAAUGGAACAAUCUUCACAGCCGAAAGGUUUAAGGAAUACACGGCCAAUUUGAAAAUUCGGCUGGAACAGUCCACACCGUAUUAUCCACAGGCGAAUGGGCAGGCCGAGGCAAGUAAUAAAGUGUUGAUUGGCAUCCUCGAAAAAAAUAAUAAAAGAGAGGCCUGGCAUGUGGCAUUUGAAGUUGAACGAGGCAUUAUGGGCAUACCGAACGUCGUCCCGAUCGGCGACUGCAACAACCCCGUACGCAUUGACUUACGGACACGAUGCGGUGCUACCAGUCGAGUUGAGCAUAAAUUCGUUGCGAUUAAUUGAACAAAGUAGUUUGUUUAGCGCCGGAUAUAAUCAGUCCAUGAGACAGGAACUAGAAGAUUUGGAAGAGGCGCGACUUGACGCUUAUAACUUACUGGUGGCACAGAAACAGAUUGCCGAGCGAGCUUAUAACCAAAAGGUACGACAGAAAACGUUCGGCGAGGGUGAAUUGGUGUGGCAAACGGUGUUGCCCGUAGGAAUAAAAGAUCCUAGGUUCGGCAAGUGGUCGCCGAAUUGGGAAGGGCCGUUCAUGGUGCAUAAGGUAUACGGUAAAGGGGCGUAUCAUCUUAAAGACCGGACUGGAGUAGUUCACAAAUUACCAAUUAAUGGGAAGUUCUUGAAGAAAUACUAUCCGGUCACAUGGGAAAUGCGUGAAUAAAAAGUUUGUUGUAGGAAAAGUCAUUCCAUUAAAAUUGACAGGUAUUACAAAAAUGAGUAGGUCUAAUACAUUCAAGGAGACGAGGGAAGAAGAGUGCUGAGCAGAGCUUUCAAUUCCAACCACCGCACGUCGGCCAUGAUGACUUCGGCUUGCCGAUUCUUUUUGUCUAGCCUCAGGCGCUCGAGCCGUUUUUUGGCCGCCGCAUACUCAGUUAGGCGAUCCUUCCCACCUGACUCGAAGUCCCUCGCAAGUUCAGAAGCAAUGACCGACCGGCGUUUUGCUAGUUCGGCCAUCUGACGACGGUCGAGCUCGGCUAACGCUUCUCCUUUUGCCCGUAGAUCGUCAAUCUUCGGACGGAGGGUGUCUUGAACGGCCGUGGCGGCUUGCAGGUCCUGUUCGGCUUCGGCCUUCAGAGCAGUCUGGAAGAUGCCAAAUGUCUCCCGAACGCGCUCCAAAGCAGACGAUGCCCGAACAAUGGCAUCUCCGCUUAGGCGACCGUCGGCCCCAAGGUCGUUUCAGACACACGCCGAGCAGAUCAAGACCGUUGCGCUCAAGUACUUACGAUGAAAGAGAGCGACAGGACUUCUCGCAACUGGGUUAGGGCGCUUGGAUCGGCAGCCUCAGUUGGAGCGGCCGAAGGGCCGGACUCUGCAGUCGUGCUGGAGAGGAGAGCUUUGAAUUCAACCUCCCAUGAAGCCUGCACGAAUAAACAAGGUUAAGCUUAAAGGAAGUCAUGACAAGAAUGGCAAGAAGGUGUCGUUUUUUAACCUGCCGAGAGGAGACCUCGGCCAUGUCCCCAGGGUCGUUGCUCGAACCUAAAGAACUCAAUGGCCGAGCCCAGUGUCUCAGAUUGCUUCUCACUUCACGAGGCCGAUGGAGGUUAUCUACGUUUGAUGGCCACUGAGGCUGCCAGGAAAUAUAGAUAACGCCCUUCGGCGCAUAGAAUUGACGGUGAAAAGAAUGUACAGGCACCUGACAUUUUAGUUUUUUCCUUGUUUAGAAUUCUAAAGCAGAAAAGCAAUCAGGAGGAAAAUUGAAGGUACUUACAAAAGCCGAGGUAACCUCUUGUGGAGGGAUGUGGAAGCCUUGGUCUUGAGGAUGGAUCAGCGAUUCCGCCGUGGCCUCGGGUUCCUCGAGCAGGCGUUUGCCACGGUCGGCUGCCGAUGGGCCGACUGGCGCAGCUGCUUCAGUGGAGGCAGGGACGUCCUGGUCUUGAGAAGGAACGAGAGGUUCGGCCGCCGGGGUCGGUUCCUCGACCGUGCGCUUGCCACGAUUAGCCGAGGAGGGGCCGGGUUGAACCGCCAUCUCGGAUACUGGAGGCGUUUGUUGACGAGUAGGAGGACGACGCGCCAGCGGGACCUCGUCGCUCCCCUCACUCUCUUCCAGCACGAAGACCGUGGGCUUUGGAUUCUUGGGAGAGGUUUCCUCGGUCGUAGAAACCGCCUGGUGUGAGACAGGUGCCUUCUCGACAGAGGGAGGUACGACUGAUUCGCCGGCCACAGAAGCAGGCCGCGCUGGGACCGUCUCUAUGGCCGAAGCCGGCUGUUUCUUGACCUCAGAAUGGCCGGCGGCGGGAGAAGGGGAAGCACUGAGAGUCGUCGUGUGGCUGGAAAUAACGUGGAUCUCCCGUGCACCUUUCUUCGCCAGUUGUUUGACCCGCUUGGCAGGCGGGGAAGGCUCGAUAGCCGGCCCGGCCUCUUGGCGAGGCCGUUUGAUCAGCCCGGCCCUACCAGCAGGUUUGUCCUUUUUGGCCACGACCGAUUUUUUCCCGGCCAUAGCAGCGGAAACUGCCUCUGUCUUUCUCAAAGGCCGACUACCUAAAAGGAUAAAGACAAUUCAGUAGGGCGUACAAUAUGCAAGGUUGAAGAAAAAGGGGGAAUUGAACAACUACCUUGAGAGUGGGGGGCCGGGGCUUUCUUAGGUCGGUUACCGAAGAGCCUGCUUAGUACAUCUUCGACCGGCGCACCGAAGAACUCCUGAGUGUAAUUUUCCCACCACUCACCGAAGGUGUCAGUGCAAUAGGUUUCUGGGGUGGCCGGUCGUAGGCGAAAUCUUUGGCAGUACUCUUGAAACUCCUUCGCGGCAGUCCUGCACUCGUUCUCUGAAGAGCGAGGCUCGCGUCCGCGGCUCAAUACUGUGCGGGAAGAGAGAAGGGGGACGGGACAGCCCUGAAGAUAGCCGAGCUGACGGGCAAGGAAGUUCGGAUGGUACACUUCCCACCCCGACCUUUUCCCGUCGCAGCCGAGAUCAAGGUCGCGAGCAAGCACGAACGACCCCCAGGUUUGGCGAAGAGUGGCAUCCUCCUCUGCGGCCCACGUAGAGGUAGGCAGUCUGAUGGAGGGGGGGUAAUCGCGACGACGACAAAUCAGGAAUUCGUCGCUUGAGAGAUCGUCAAGGGCAAAGAGGUACCUAAAUACCUCUUCGGCCUGAUGAGGAGGCGUUGGUCGGGAGGCUAGCUGAGGACCAAGAGCCUCCGUUGCUGAGAAAUCAGCUAUAGCCGGCCGAAGGGAGGCGAAGUACACCUGCAACCAGAGCUGGAAGACCCAGAGAGGGCCAUUCUGGUGGGGGUCCACCGUGUGGAGAGUCGCCUCGGCCAGGCAACGAAAGAGGUGGGCAAGAAUAUUAGAACUCAGCGCCAGGACGUGACCACUGGCCAGGGCUUCGGCCACUGGCAUAUUAUCGACCAAACAUUUGUUUGAUUUGGUACAACAAAUGUAUUUGUUGUACCAGUAGAAGAGAAAGGCUUCAUGCUCUCCCCUCUCGCAGGUCCUCUUCCCCUCGACCGGCGAAGUGAAGGUAGAGGGUGUUGUAGUUGAGAAAGUUCUUGUGGAGCUUCUGUAUCUCAUCCCUCGACGGGAUGUGACCGUCACUGUUCAGGGUCUCGAAGGCUCGACGGUCGAAGAGCGUCUUCAGAUCGAUAUUCGACGGGUGCCCGGAGAGGGUCGCGUCGAUAGGGAUCCCGGUGGCCGAGGUCCCCAAAAUGACGGUGAUGUCCAGGAUGGUGGGACCAAUGGGACCAAGGGGAAGGACCAUUGUGUUGGUGGCUGAGCACCAGAAGCAUAGAGCGGCUAGGAGCAGCUCCUUGUCAGGGACAAUGUCCAUCGACGAAAGGAGGAUGGCGUCGUAGAUACCCAGGAUUUUCCAUUUUUCGCCGAAGAGCCGUUCCAUUCGGACAACCCAGGUCGCCCAGGUGGUGGUCGUCGAGGGCCAGGAGCCUUGGGGUUUUGCCGCCUCCCAUCUCGACCAUUCAAACCCUUGGAGCAAGGGUGUAAGGCAGUGUUCCUGGAGAAGACCAGUGAUGGUCGGCGGGAUUGUUGCCUUGAAGAGAGGACCCAGGAUUUGGUGGACGGUGCUCAUGUCGUUCUCGAACCGUAUAUUCUUGAUCGAGCUCCGAUCAAGGAUCUUUUGAUGCUGGUCGCAUUCCCCGGAAAGCUUGGAGAUGAAGGAGGCCAUUGUAAAAGCACAGCGUAAGGAGGUUUUCUGGGUUGGGGAUUUGAGGACGAAAACUUGGAAUGGAGGAAUGCACUUGAGAGCAAGGGUAGGAGAUUUCAGGAAGUUUGAGAACGUAAAGUACAAAUGAGGAAAUUUCGGUAUUUAUAGAGUAAUGGGAGGAAGAGCAAUCGUUCGAAAUUCAAAACAAAGGGCAAAGUCGACCGGAGGAAUCGUUGAUCAUGAUGAGCAUUUGGGGAAUGCGGUUGAGAAGACCGACGGUUUUAGGUUUUGGGGGCGCACGAUCGCGUGUGACGGCGAAGUUAAUGACGAAAGACGGUUCGACGCCUGCACGAUGACAGGAGGGCUCACGGACUGAUGAAAUGGCUCGCGAAUUGAGAUAGUGGUCAUAAUGGCGAGACGGUUCGGGCAGGCGCACGCUUCAGACGUCAUUAUCGGGGAUUGGCCAUGUUAGGGGAUGCCACGUGGCAAGUGGUUUAGCAGGAUCAAGAUCGUGCGAUCAUGUUCAAUAAAUGCGCCUUGGAACUCGGGUAUUGGGAUCCUGAGUGGUAGAUUCGCUUCUUCAAGGCCGAAACUCGGCCGAAGGUUUCAGGCCGAGGACCUCAAAAGCGAGGGGGCAAUGUUUGGGCCCAAAAUAACAGUUUGGGCCGAGGGAGGUAUCACUUUCGGCCCGGGAAGACGUACGGCGAGAGAGUCAUGGGGGCGUUCAGAUCAUGGGCUUCUAGGCCUAGAUCGGUUAAAUCAGAGUGCAAGUCGAGUCCUAAUACAAUAGGGACCCUCGACGAGAUCAGUAAAACUAGAAGGCGAAUCCGGCUCAGUUAAGGACUAGAUUCGUAGUCCUAGCAGAGAUAGGACUGAUUGAGGUAACGUUAAUCCGGAGAGGGAAACCUAGUUCGAAUAGGAUUAGAACUCGGGCUCGGUGUUCUGCUACUAUAAAUACAAGACAUUCAGCAAUGGAAAAGCACCACAAAAAUCAAUACAAAAUUGCCCUGCGCAAACUCUCACAACUUGAGAUCUUUUUCUUUUCCUUUUUCGCUGACACAUCUUCCGUUGGCAUCAACAGCACUGUGGAAGCAACCGGUGAUAUCUUAAGUCGGCAUAGAUAGCUCUGUCACCGUAGAGUCGGUCGGUCUCUCGCAGUAUCUUCCGUUGGCAUCAACAGCACUGCGGCGAGAACGGUCGAUUGCCUAUCCAAGUCUCGGUCGAGAAGGGUUUUUCGAAUCCUUGUUGGUCGAGGUCAUCUCAUUAUUAGCCUUCUCGGCGAGGUGAGGUUUACAGUUAUUACAUUCGGCACAUUGUAAGCCGAAUUCGGUUCGUGAACUUUGUAAGAAAUAGCAGCCUUGUCUUCAGGCUCGAGAAGACCCAAGCCGAGACGCGUUCCUUUCGGCCGCAAUCGCAAGACGCAGAAGUCAGUAGCGCGACCCAACGCAGCAUCAUCAAAUUUACUCCUCGGCCGAGCCUCGGCCGACGAGUUGGCACGCCCCGCAAUCACCGAAGGACGUAGUUAGCUUAGAAUAUAUUCGGCCUGCGCGCCACGUAGGCUUUGUAAUUUCUAGGGUCAACAGUAGGUUACUUAUAUUCUUAUGUGGUAGUUUAUUUGACUUUUGCGUUUUUGUUGGAUGUUUAAUUAUAUGUGGGUUUAUGUUUAGAAAUUAUGAUUUUUCAGGACAAAUAUCUAAUGAACCCUAUUUUGUAUACAAUGAGAUUAAGGGAGGAGAUUUAAACUAAGUCAUACAUCAAAUCAUUAUUAAAUACCGGAGGCGUAAUCUUUAAGAUUGAUUAGUCUUGGCAUCUUUGAAAAACAAAAGGAAGAAAUUUUACCAAAAAAUAUGUGAAAGAAAAAAACCAUGGGCGGCAGAAAAAGGUAAUCCAAAACCAUAAUUAGCUUCCCAACUUCGACCAACGAACAAAGGGGCAUUCUAGUCAUUCCACACCUAAAUCCCAACCAUUUUCCUCAGAAAUUACCUUUUUCAGGCGGGCCCACCAAUCUUUUGCCCGUCCAGAAAAUCUGAUAUUUCCUCCAAUAACAGGAGGCAGAUUGUCUGCCUCUUGUAACCAUAUCCUUCUCAUUCCUUCUUAUUUGUACGGUCACGAUUAAGUUAUAUUAACAUUUUAUAUUAAUUUUUUAAUAAAAAUAAUAAGAGCAAAAACAAUAUGAAUAUAAAAUAUUAACGUGAUUUAAUCGUGAUCGCAUAAAUAAAAGGAGAUAAGAAGAGCACGGUAACAAGAGGGUAGACAAUCUGCCUCCCUAAUAACAAGGCCUUGACUGGUUGAUCUCCUUAAAUCAGCCACCAACUCCUCAAUCGUCACCGCAUAUCCAACCGUUCAAAUUGACAAGACAAAUCCAGCCACAAGAUCAUGAAAAGAUCCAACGGCUGAGACAAAAGCACUAGAACCUUCUCCUUCUGACUGCUUUACCUAUCAGCUUAUUUGAAUGUACUUUUAAAAUGAUUGAAAGCGUUUUUAAUAAAAAUAUUUUUAAAAUCAAUUUUUAAUAAAGAUACAAGUAAAUUAAAAAAAAAAAAUUAAAAUGCUUCUUAGAAGAAGCAUAUAACUAAUAUUUCUUACAAAAAGCAAUUUAAAUACUUUUAAAACUUAAAAAUAUUUUAUUUAAAAACGUUUUUAAUUAUUUUAAGACCAUCUCCAACCCUUGGGCUAAAAGCCAAAUUUUUUAGCCCGGAAAAUUUAGCUUUUAGCCCAGAAACAUCUUUUCUGCUCCAACCCUUCUACCCUAAAAUUUUAGCCCGGAAUUAUUAAAGAAUGAAAUUAGCCUAAAUUUUUUUCUUAAAUCAAUUUUUUUUUAAAUAAAUAUGUAGAUUAUUGUAAAUUAAUUUUAUGAACAUUUUAAUCUAAAAAAAUUUAAAUUCCGAUAAACAUUUCGCAUUUAGCCCGGGGGGAAAGCUGUGGGGUAUUUGGCCCAGAAAUAGCAUUUGGCAUUUAGCCUAAAAUUUUAGCAUGGGUUGGAGAGUGUUUGGGGGGGUAAUUUGGGGGGUAAUUUAGCUUUUAGCCCAGGGUAAUGGGAUUUAUUUGAUCUUAUAAUUUUGUUUUUAAUUUUGUGUGCAGUUGGCUGGUGUUGUCGCUGUUGAGAUUAAUGGUGGGCCUGAUGUCCCAUUCCACCCAGGAAGGACGGUCAGUAAGCCUUGAUUUUCUCCGAAUGUUUUGGUUGGAGCCUGUAAAUUUGAUUAAUUACCAUGAAUAUUUUGAGUGAAUUACCUUGGAUAUGUCAUAUAUCAAAUCUUGCUUUGCAUUUGAUUUCUUGUUUGUGAUAUUUAGGCCAUCUCCAAUCGAAUAAGGACCAGAGGGCUAGUUUUAUCCUAUAGUCUUUCAAGAAAUUAAUAUUUUAAUGAACAAUGCAGGACCAUAUUUCUUACCAUCUCCAAUUGAGGGGCCAGAGGGCCAUAAGCCAAAUAUAGCUCUGCGACAAAAAAUCAUACUUCAACCGAGGGGUCAAAUGGUCAUAGGCCAAACAUAGCUCUGCGACAAAAAAUCAUCUCCAACCGAGAGUGCCAAAGCGCCAAAAAUAAUUUAUUAUUUAAAUUUAAAAACUACAACUUAUAUAUUUCAAAUCAAAUGUGAGAGGUUUUAUUUAGAGUAUAAAAACAAAAUGGAGGUGAAGAAAUGAGCUUUGGAAACAGGCCUAUAAUAGUGGGUGCGAGAGUACCACAUGGCCACGGAAGAGAAUUGAGCAAGCAAACAUGCUUAUAAAAGGAACACUCUAACAUUGAACUAACCAUACAUUUUUGGGCCUAUAAUUAAAUAUUUUAUAAAAAAAUUUGGCCCCAAAAAAAAAAGAAAGAAUUCAAAUCAUUUUAACUAAUGUCAGCAUGACGUCAGUUAGCUGUUGGUUUCAAAUUUAUGGCCCAGCCCGGGGCUAGCUGGCUGGCUCCUUUGGGCUAGAUGGUUGGUCCUUUGGCCCUUUUUUGUCCCGUGGGGCCCACGAGCCCGUUGGCCUAGCACUUGGUUGGAGACAAUUUUCAGGCUAUUUUUGGCUCUCUGGACCAUUCAGUUGGAGAUUGCCUUAGAUCUUUGAUGUGUUUUUGUUUGGUCACUUGAAAAUCUUGUUAUCUUUUUGCUUCUGGUGUAUUCAUUUAUUCAAAUGUGUUCGAGGUAGAAAGUUGUAUUGCAUUUGACAGUUAUCUCUUUUCAAUGAUUUCGUUAAAAGAGAUUGCAAUUUGUCUUCUUAGUCGGAUUAAUCAUGUUUGCCUGAAUGCGCCUCCAUGAUUCAAUCGGUCAGUCCAGGUUAUCCUCAUUUCCAGAAACUGAGCUCAUUAAUCAUUGGUCUCGGGCUUUCCGAUGGACAUUAUGUAUUCUGUUUUGCUUAUUUGUGAAUGUUUUGGAUUUUAUUUUCUUUUUCAAAUUGAUGCGUUUGUUUUGUAACUUUUGUUUGUGACAUUUUUCAGUUUGUAACUUAAGCAUGGACUAGUUGUAUUGAUAUUCUUGUUGUUGUACCAGGAUGCCCCCGAGCCACCACCAGAGGGCCUUCUUCCUGAUGCUACCAAGGGUAAAUAUAUAUUGUUGAAAACACUGCACAAAAAUAAAGGACCAGGAACGAGAUUACCAGGAAACUUGAACAACCAAAAGAAACACAGAAAUAUCUUGGGUUGAGUCGCGGACAAUGUCGCUUUCUUUAAGACGUUUCGCGGCUCUGCCCAAGGUGUGCAAGCAGUCUCAAAUGCCACGCCGUCCCCAAGAUAAAACCGCCCAGAGUCACAACUGAACAGAUCUUUCUUUGCACUGAGAAAGAUCUAAUGCUUUCACCCACUCUACUGCUCAGUGUUCACAAAGUAUUUUUUGUUGGUCGUCUACUCAAAACUAGAACCCUAGCACUUUAAAUACUACUUAGAGAUAUUAACGUUGAGAUAGUUGAGAAAAAAAUGCUCACAAAAUCCGGCCAAGAAAACAGGGAAACAAUAUCAGAUUGUUGAGAUAGACUAGGUCUUCAAAACUUUCUGUUGAGAAAAGAUUCUCCUUAAAACUAGGAAACCAACGUUAACCUAAUUGACUAAUUCCAAGUUUUAAAUAAACAUGCAAACCCUAACAUAUAUUUUGACAUGAUCUUAUCUCAAUUGUUUUAGUUUAUGCUUCUCUUGGAUUGUAGGCGAGGAUGUUUUGUCUAGACUGAGUUAAAAAUUACUGUUGAAUUGCUGUAGGUAAUGACCAUUUGAGGGAUGUCUUCUGCAAAACCAUGGGCCUCAGCGACAAGGAUAUUGUUGCUCUCUCCGGUGGUCACACCCUGGUACGUUAACUUUUAUUCUCUUGAUUUCUUUUCUGAAAACUGUGCCAGGUUAUGUAGUCGGUCGGAAAUCCGUUGUUAUUUGGUCAAUGACAAUACUGAUUUCUAUUUGUGCAAUGGCAAUAUGGUAUGUUGCAGGGAAGGUGCCACAAGGAGCGAUCUGGAUUUGAAGGACCUUGGACUCCCAACCCCCUUAUCUUUGACAACUCCUACUUCAAGUAAGUCCCGUUUCCCUGCUAUGUUUACUCAAUAUGUCUAGUUGCAUUGUGAAUUUGAGCUACACAAAUAAUAUCUAAUGCUAUUCGAAUAUG
rnacentral:lncRNA from 1 species